rnacentral:rRNA from 1 species
AAUCCUCGGGGCGCAGCAGUGAGGAACAUUGGUCAAUGGGCGGAAGCCUGAACCAGCCAAGUCGCGUGAGGGAAUAAGGCCCUACGGGUCGUAAACCUCUUUUGCCGGGGAGCAAGGGCCGGGACGCGUCCCGGCCCGGAGAGUACCCGGAGAAAAAGCAUCGGCUAACUCCGUGCCAGCAGCCGCGGUAAUACGGAGGAUGCGAGCGUUAUCCGGAUUUAUUGGGUUUAAAGGGUGCGUAGGCGGGCUUUUAAGUCAGCGGUAAAAAUUCGGGGCUCAACCCCGUCCGGCCGUUGAAACUGGGG